GCCCUACGGGUAGAUCUCCACCCUAUGUUAUCGUACCUUGUUGCUUUGGCGGGCCGUCAGGCCUCGGUCAGACUACCGGCUCCGGCUGGUAAGUGCCCGCCAGAGGAUAUCAAACCUUGAAUUUAAUGUCGUCUGAGUACUAUAUAAUAGUUAAAACUUUCAACAACGGAUCUCUUGGUUCUGGCAUCGAUGAAGAACGCAGCGAAAUGCGAUAAGUAAUGUGAAUUGCAGAAUUCAGUGAAUCAUCGAAUCUUUGAACGCACAUUGCGCCCCUUGGUAUUCCGAGGGGCAUGCCUGUUCGAGCGUCAUUACAACCCUCAAGCCUAGCUUGGUAUUGGGCUCCGCUGCUCACACAGCGGGCCUUAAAAUCAGUGGCGGUGCCGUCGGGCUCCUGAGCGCAGUAAACAUCCUCGCUUUAGGGACCGGUGGACGCUUGUCAUCAAACCCAACUUUCUAAGUUUGACCUCGGAUCAGGUAGGGAUACCCGCUGAACUUAA
rnacentral:rRNA from 1 species